CCUUUAAGUAGAGGCGCGCUGUUCAUGAGUCGCCAGUCGUAGGUUGACCCCGAUGAUGACUGGUUAAAGGGUACAGCGCCGAAGUGAUCGUUGCGUCAUCAACGUUCGCUGGGCCAGCAUUGAACAAAUGCCGGACUGCCAUAGUGUGUUGUCUAUGGAGCGCUACCUUGAAG
rfam:Vibrio cholerae O1 biovar eltor str. N16961 chromosome II, complete sequence.